GACGAACGCUGGCGGCGUGCCUAAUACAUGCAAGUAGAACGCUGAAGAGAGGAGCUUGCUCUUCUUGGAUGAGUUGCGAACGGGUGAGUAACGCGUAGGUAACCUGCCUUGUAGCGGGGGAUAACUAUUGGAAACGAUAGCUAAUACCGCAUAACAAUGGAUGACACAUGUCAUUUAUUUGAAAGGGGCAAUUGCUCCACUACAAGAUGGACCUGCGUUGUAUUAGCUAGUAGGUGAGGUAAUGGCUCACCUAGGCGACGAUACAUAGCCGACCUGAGAGGGUGAUCGGCCACACUGGGACUGAGACACGGCCCAGACUCCUACGGGAGGCAGCAGUAGGGAAUCUUCGGCAAUGGGGGCAACCCUGACCGAGCUACGCCGCGUGAGUGAAGAAGGUUUUCGGAUCGUAAAGCUCUGUUGUAAGUCAAGAACGGGUGUGAGAGUGGAAAGUUCACACUGUGACGGUAGCUUACCAGAAAGGGACGGCUAACUACGUG
rnacentral:rRNA from 1 species